GCCGUAGUCAGUAGGUGGGGGGUGAGAACGGCUCCAUACAGGAGUUGACGCACAGUUAUCCAGCUCCUAUAUGGCGCCUUUCCUCAUCCCCUUCAA
rnacentral:pre_miRNA from 10 species